CACCUGGUAGCACAACGGCUAGUGCGUCUGCGUUGAAUAUCUCGUCCACAACAAGUAUUUUUAUGCAGAAGAUCCUCGUUCAAUUCGGGGUCGGGUGA